GGCAUGGUAGCUGAGUAGAUAAAGCACUUAUAGCUAUUUACCAAAUAUCGAUGGUUCGAAUCCAUCCCAGAGCAAGUUA
rnacentral:tRNA from 1 species